AGGACUGCUGAAAUGCUAGUCUGCAGAAGCAGGCAACACUAUCAAAUUGCGGGAACACCCUAAAGACCUCAACACCAAGCGUCAUGGGAAACCAUGGCGUGGCCGAGCUAAUAGCCCUGGGUAUGGUAACAGCUUGAGGUAUGAAGCCUUCGCAAGGAGGCCGAAAUGGGCAAUCCGCAGCCAAGUCCUAACGUGCUCGAAACCGAGUGCCAUGGAUGCUGUUCACAGGCCAAAUGGUAGUGGGUGACUCUUGCGAGUUGCUUAAGAUAUGGUCGGGCCCCUUCAGAAAUGUGGGGGAUAAGCUUACGCUUCUCCAAACCGUUCCGUAGGUGAACCUGCGGAAGGAUCAUU
rnacentral:ncRNA from 1 species